rnacentral:rRNA from 1 species
UACGUAGGGGGCUAGCGUUGUCCGGAAUCAUUGGGCGUAAAGAGCGCGUAGGCGGCCCGAUAAGUCUGCUGUGAAAGUCCAGGGCUCAACCCUGGAAUGCCGGUGGAUACUGUCGGGCUAGAGUACGGAAGAGGCGAGUGGAAUUCCUGGUGUAGCGGUGGAAUGCGCAGAUAUCAGGAGGAACACCAAUGGCGAAGGCAGCUCGCUGGGACGGUACUGACGCUGAGACGCGAAAGCGUGGGGAGCAAACAGG